ACUCCUACGGGAGGCAGCAGUGGGGAAUAUUGCACAAUGGGGGAAACCCUGAAUGCAGCCAUGCCGCGUGUGUGAAGAAGGCCUUCGGGUUGUAAAGGCACUUUCAGUAGGGAGGAAGGUUAGUGUAGUUAACACCUGCAUUAGUUUGACGUUACCUACAGAAGAAGCACCGGCUAACUCCGUGCCAGCAGCCGCGGUAAUACGGAGGGUGCGAGCGGUUAAUCGGAAUUACUGGGGCGUAAAGCGCAUGCAGGCGGCCUGUUAAGUCAGAUGUGAAAGCCCGGGGCUUAACCUCGGAAUUGCAUUUGAAACUGGCAGGCU
rnacentral:rRNA from 1 species